UACCAGCACCCCGAGUGGUCGGGACGUUUAUUGGGCCUAAAGCAUCCGUAGCCGGUUCUACAAGUCUUCCGUUAAAUCCAACUGCUUAACAGGUGGGCUGCGGAAGAUACUAUAGAGCUAGGAGGCGGGAGAGGCAAGCGGUACUCGAUGGGUAGGGGUAAAAUCCGUUGAUCCAUUGAAGACCACCAGUGGCGAAGGCGGCUUGCCAGAACGCGCUCGACGGUGAGGGAUGAAAGCUGGGAGCAAAGCCAGGG
rnacentral:rRNA from 1 species